AGUAUAGCAAUCUAUACAGUGAAACUGCGAAUGGCUCAUUAAAUCAGUUAUCGUUUAUUUGAUAGUACCUUACUACUUGGAUAACCGUGGUAAUUCUAGAGCUAAUACAUGCUAAAAAUCCCGACCUCUGGAAGGGAUGUAUUUAUUAGAUAAAAAACCAAUGCCUUCGGGCUCACUGGUGAUUCAUGAUAACUUAACGAAUCGCAUGGCCUUGCGCCGGCGAUGGUUCAUUCAAAUUUCUGCCCUAUCAACUUUCGAUGGUAGGAUAGUGGCCUACCAUGGUUUCAACGGGUAACGGGGAAUUAGGGUUCUAUUCCGGAGAGGGAGCCUGAGAAACGGCUACCACAUCCAAGGAAGGCAGCAGGCGCGCAAAUUACCCAAUCCCGACACGGGGAGGUAGUGACAAUAAAUACUGAUACAGGGCCCUUUCGGGUCUUGUAAUUGGAAUGAGUACGAUCUAAAAACUCUAACGAGGAACAAUUGGAGGGCAAGUCUGGUGCCAGCAGCCGCGGUAAUUCCAGCUCCAAUAGCGUAUAUUAAAGUUGUUGCAGUUAAAAAGCUCGUAGUUGAACCUUGGGCUUGGCCGGCGGGUCCGCCUCACCGCGUGCACUCGCCCGGCCGGGCCUUUCCUUCUGGCAAACCCCAUGCCCUUUACUGGGUGUGGCGGGGAACCAGGACUUUUACUUUGAAAAAAUUAGAGUGUUCAAAGCAGGCAUAUGCUCGAAUACAUUAGCAUGGAAUAAUAGAAUAGGACGUGUGGUUCUAUUUUGUUGGUUUCUAGGACCACCGUAAUGAUUAAUAGGGAUAGUCGGGGGCAUCCGUAUUCAACUGUCAGAGGUGAAAUUCUUGGAUUUGUUGAAGACGAACUACUGCGAAAGCAUUUGCCAAGGAUGUUUUCAUUAAUCAGGAACGAAAGUUGAGGGAUCGAAGACGAUCAGAUACCGUCGUAGUCUCAACCAUAAACUAUGCCGACUAGGGAUCGGGCGGUGCUAACAAUUUGGCCCGCUCGGCACCUUACGAGAAAUCAAAGUCUUUGG
rnacentral:rRNA from 1 species